rnacentral:rRNA from 2 species
AAGCUCGUAGUUGAAUUUCGGGAUUAAUUUAUUGGUCGUGCAAUAGUACGUACUGGUAUUAUUGAUUCCUACCUUCUGACGAACCAUGAUGUCAUUAAUUUGGUGUCAUGGGGAAUCAGGACUGUUACUUUGAAAAAAUUAGAGUGUUUAAAGCAGGCUCACGCUUGAAUACAUUAGCAUGGAAUAACGAAAUAGGACGUUUGAUUCUAUUUUGUUGGUUUCUAGGAUCGACGUAAUGAUUAAUAGGGAUAGUUGGG